GUAAAGAUCAUCAAACUACAAACAAUCUUAGCUAGAGCCCUCGCGCAAUUGGACCCUUCUUUAGGCUCUCACGGUCAAGGAAAAGAUGAUGGCAGCAUCAACCACAUGGUUAUUCAGUUUGUGUCCCCACUAUAAAUAUAUAAUUGGGUCAUCUAAUUGAUCUUUUCUGGAUGGGAUCACCUAAAUGAAUUAUUGAUUAACUGGACCAGCUUGUGAUAAUAUAUUGUUAAAUUUACACGUCCCAUUUUUCUUUUUUGAGGUUUGUUUUCUCGUAUAUGUUAUUGGGUGAUAUAUACUUGUUAAAUACAUACUUGAAAGAUCUAUGCUAAAGCAAGAGUAUUUUACAAUUGGAAUGAGGGUGGGAAAAAUGUGAAGCAGAAAAGCAACCUUAUUUUCAUGUGAAUGUUUGGCUAUUAUUGUUGCA